CGAGGUUCCAUCCUGUCCCCUGAACCAAACGGCAGAGGCGGCAAAGGGACCCCUGGCAGGAACCAUGUCAUACCAGUUCCAGAAGAAAAGGGCAAGUCACUGCGCUCAGUCAAUGCAGGCGGUACUGAGAGCUUGAUCCAGCGUCCAGAUCCCCUCGUUAGCAAUUUCCUUCAUCAUAUGCAACCCUGGGAGACUGUCUUGAGAGGUAUUUUAUCACAGUGACUGAAGCCUGUGACUAACCCAUAGCAUACCAGAACACGGCCCGGGACCAGCAAUGGGUGAGACUCCCAGGAGCUACAGCCAUUUUCGUUCAUCUGUGAGCAUUGGGUAAAGUCUGACACGAGUGUUCUUGAACAAUGGAACAUUUUCUUUCAAGUUGUAAAUCAAGGACCCAAUUCCUCCUCUCCCUUUAGCAUCUGCCUUCUAGAAAAGCCGCCAUUCAUCUGGAGGGAACGGAAGAGGAGGAAACGCAGGACAUGGCUACAGUCCAACUAAUUUGAUAAAGGAAGGCUAUGAACAGAAAGUCCAUGAAUCCAGAAGUUCCUCAGUCCACAAGGCUGGAUGUCUCAGCUGCCCUUCGGUAGAUGCUGAAAUUCCAAAGAAGAAUUUCUGUGCCAGUGAAGGAAUUGACUUGCUAGCAAGGCCAGAGAAAGCAAGCAAAGAGCAAAAGCUUCCUUCUUCCACAUCUGUAUAUUGGUUUCCAGCAGAAGGUGUGGCCCAGAUUAAACAUGUGUCUUCCCACCUCAAGAUCCUGAUCAAAGAAUGUACACUGUCUAUAUCCCCAUACUCUCUGGUCAAGAGGACAGCUAACUUUCCAGAGCUUCAGGACCCUUGAGAGACAUCCUACAUUUCCUGGGAGUAAACUGACAUUGGAAGGCAAGGGCCAAAAUAUUGGUCCUCUUGGCCCCCAAGUAUGCUUACUGAACAGCCAGAAGACAACAGGGAUCGGAGACCCUGGUGACGAGAGGAAGGAAGAGCAAAUACAGCCUGUCCUCUGCCCGCCGUAUUGAAGAUCGCCCUGCACACAGAAAUCCGUAAUGUCGAGAGCUACAAAUAAGACAUUAAGUGCUGAAAUCCCUUUUGUGGCAAAGAAAAGGAUUAAGUGUCGGCGACAAGAGUAGGUGACUGGAAAAUGCUGGACUCUUUGGCUGCAGCUCUCUGCUUUUCUUGAAAGAAAUAUGUCUUGUUUGGAUGGCUGGGUGUUGUGGUUUAACUCGGCAAGCCAAAAAUCUGGUGAGGGAAAUGAAAGUCAUGUUGGGAGGACUUUUGAUUGAGCCAAGAGUGAGAAGACAUUUGUCCGGAGUCGUUCACCACAUCCCCAAAGAGAGCACACAAUUUCUUCCUUUGAGGUGCCAUAAGAAAGAGAACCUUUUUACUUAGGAAGGAAAAUUUGAUUUCAAGAGUUUGAACAUCAACGGAUUCAUUCCAACCAUAUUUUGAUGAGAAUCUCACUGGCCUCAAACUAGCUAAGAAGACCAGGCUGGCUGGCCCAUGGGCCCUGGAGAUCCAUCCACCUCUGCCUCACCAGCACUGGAAAUUCAAUACAUACCACCAUGCCUAUUUUUUGUUUGUUUGCUUGUAUUUUAACACGGGGUUGAACUCAGGUCCUCAAUCUUCCAAGGCAGGCACCUCACCGUCAGAGCCAUCAAUCCAUCCAGAAGCUGACCCUUUUGUGAACAGCCAAUUGUGGAAAAGCAGUCCACACAGGGUCGGGGAAACUUACAAUGUCGAAUACACAAUGACCUCACACAGAUCAUUAAAAAACGUCAGCAUCCUAGACAAAGUCCCAAAGACUCUCUGAAAAUCCUCUUUUCUUCCCUGUGACAACCCACAAUCACAAGUAUGUGAGUCAGGUCUCCCUAGGUUAUGCUGAUCCAGGGGUUAGAGGUUUGUAAGAACAAGAGGGUUAUUUCUUAUUUGUAAUUUAUUACAUUCGCUGUGGGGAGUCUGAAGUCUUUUCCACAUAGGUAGGAUACAGGGAAGAACAAAAGCCCCUACACAGGCCACUUCAUCCUUGAGGCAACGGGAAAGAAAUCACUCAUAAAAACCACACAUUGCUUCUUCCAACCUCUGCCUACAAGUAGUAUAAGCAACAUCUACUUGUAGUUGAUGGGUCAAAGAAAGUCACAAGUCUAAGUCUGGCAUUAGAGAAGAAAGUAAUUCCCACGGGGAGUGAGUUGCAUCAGGGGGCUGUCCUAUAGGGUAGUUCUAUCUAAAUAAAGGUCCUAUCUUUUGUUUA